AUACUAGGCUACAAUGCCCUAAAAACAUCAGAUCCCAUCUGAUCUUGAAAGCUAAGCAGGGUUACCUCUAGUUAGUACUUGGAUAAGAAACUGCCAAUGAAUAACAGGUGCUGUGAGCU
rnacentral:rRNA from 1 species